ensembl:lncRNA
AAGGAUUAUUAUUGAAGCAACUUUCAAUCUAUUUCAAAUCCAUUUUUUGAAUUAAGGAAGGAUGAAUUUGGCUUUACCUUUUAACCACAGGGUUCUGAGAAUCCCCAGGCGAAUCUGCCUUCUUUGCUUCUUCCCACACAGACUCAGAAAUCUUAAAUAUGAAUAGACUUUCUGGCCUGUAUUAAACAUUUUGGCCUGUGUUGGGGCAAAUGGAGAUAUUGGGAUCCUGUUGGACACAGCAAAAAAUGGAGCAGAAACCCAAACUACCUAACUUUGGAAACAGUGUCAAGAGUCUAGAGCAAGGACUAGAGUGAACAAAUGUAAAAGCAGAAAUUAAAUUUAGAUCCCUAGAACUUUUAGAAUAUUAAGGUAGUAUAGAGUUGUAAUGAUUGUCUGGUCCAAUCCAUUUUGGUGAGAUGACUUCCACAAAGUCACAAAAUUGCCACUGGCCAAACAGAUGUUGAAAUUUUGUUCUCUUGAGCUAUUCCUUGAACUUUUCUUCCCUUAGCAUCUGAUUCAGAAACCCUGGGCACGGGGUCUGGCUCUCUUGUUAACCACAUCUGUGAUCUUGUGCAAAUCACUGAUUGUCACUGAAACUCAUUUUCCCCAUCUGAAAAAUGGGGAUAAUAAUACCUUUCAGAUUGUUGUUGAUUAAAUGGAUUUGGAAGCCCUGUGUAGAAGUAAAGCACAUGGAGAUGUUAUUAAAGCUGUGGAAUCAAGCUAAGUCUAGUUGGAUGUACUCAUAUUCUUUAGGAAAUUUCAUGCUAGAUCUCCACUUGACUUCUUCCAGAACACUAUGGGUGUGAAUCUGAAGUCCAUUAAUAUGUCACACAAUAAGAGGUGGUGAGGUGGUCAGCCAUUAUUACCUCAGUAACAUCAUCUCCAAGGGCCCACUUUUGAUCUGGAAGGAAAAUGACUCUUGGAAGUUGCUGCAAGUAUUAUGGAAUAGCUCGGAUCAUCAAGACGUUGCCAGUUUAUACAUCCUGUGCAAGAUGUGUGGGGCUGAGACAACUGUCAAAAGGAGGUGUGUGUGUGUGUGUGUGUGUGUGUGUGUGUGUGGUUGCAGUUAUGUGUAUGUGUGGUUGUGGUUGUGUGUAUAUGAUUGUGGUUGUGUGUGUUGUGUGUGUGUGUGGUUGUGGUUAUGUGUGUGUGAGUUUGCAGUUAUGCAUAUGUCUAGUUGUGUGAUUGUGUGUAUAUGGUUGUGGUUGUGCAUGUGUGUGGUGUUGUGUGUGUGGUUGUAUAUGUGUGUGGGCACUUGCAGUUAAGUGUAUGUGUGGUUUUGUGAUUGUGUGUUUAUGGUUGUGGUUGUAUAUGUGGUUGUGCAUGUGUGGUGUUGUGUAUUGUGGUGCGUGUGUGUGGUUGUGUGUAUGUGUGUGUCAUGAGGAUAAGAAAGACCAGGAUUAGAUAAGAUCCACAGUAAGAGACUCCAUUUUUCCCUUUCUUUCCCCCACCCCUUUUUCCUUUUCUCUCUUCUCCUUGCUAUUUCUGCCUUCUCUUUUCUCUUCCCCAUUUUAUUUUAUGUCCCCUUUUCACAUCUAGUAUUCUUUUCCUUUCCCUGCCAUCUCUUUUAUACACAGUUAUGGGAUUUUUUUUUAGGGUUUUAUGCUUUUUGAAAGCAAGUUUAGAAGAACUCAUGUGAAUUACUAGAGUGCUUCAAAUCAGAGUUCUA